AUGAGUAUAUCUGAUUCUGGGUCUCUGCAAGGAAGUGCUGUGUUUCAGCAUUCGGAAUGCAGCGCUCUGGAGAGAGAGCUGCCGCAGAGAGCUGGAGACCUGCGUGACCUCUCCAAAAACAGUAUUAGUGAGAUUAUUAAGUGUAUUAACCCUCCCCCAUGUCUCAGGCACGUUCCCACAAACCAUAUUAAAAGUAUCAAAGCCGUUUAUUUAUUCUUGAUCUGCAGUGAGUGAAACAUGCAAAGUUUUAACUUAUCUAAAAAUAUAAAUGCCUAGUUAUGUAUGAGUGACAAAAGAUUAAGAGAGCUGUUGUUUUCAUUCUCUUUUCAGUUUUGUUUUUUAUUGUUUUCAUUCUCUGAUUUUGGAAUUUGUAUUUGAAUUUGAAUUUGAAUUGUAUUUGUUUUGUUAUUGUUUUCAUUCUCUUUGAUUUUGGAAUUUUAGCACAGUAAAUAUGCAUAUAAAAAUAAAAGAGAUCUGGAGUGCCUGGGUGGCUCAGUAUGAGCACCCGAUUCUUGAUUUCGGCUUAGGUCAUGAUUGCAGGGUCGUGAGAUCAAGCCCAGUAAUCCAGCUCUGAGCUCAGCCGGGAAUGUGCUUGAGAUUCUCUCUUUCCCUUUCCCUCUGCCCCUCCCUCUGCUUGCUUGUGCUCUCUCUCCCCCUCUAAAUAAUUCAAUAAAACCUUAAAAAAAACAAAGUAAAGGAGAUCUAAAGAUUAUCACUUCUAUAAUUUUUUUUUCCUCCUCAGUUCCUAGCUAGGUGAUCUGUGUAAUGUGGACAAUAUCAUGAUAAAACCAAUUGUUUCAUUCAACUCAAAUGUAAUCCUACUGGCUCACAGAAGUUUAAACAAAUUCAAUGUUACAGCAUCACAUGUAAAUAAUUCCAAACAAUCCUGUUUUGAAUUUUACAAAAGUGUGGUGCCCAUUCAAGUAUACCUUUUAGGUAACUACAGAAAUCAUAUUGAAAUUUGAUAGUUGCUGGUGUAAUAUAACCAGUAGCAUGGUAAGUGGAAAGAGCAGGGGAUUUAGAUUCAGAUCUAGUAUCCUCGUCCUAGCUCUGCUAACAUGGCCUUGUGCGAGUCACUCUCUUUGAGCCUCAGUUCCCUCUCUUCAAAAACUCAUUGAAAAUAAUACCUUAAAAAUUAUUAAGAAAUAGCAACAAAGGUUACUGUGAUGUUUAAGAGAAAUGUCUAGGAAAGUAUCUUUGCUAACUAUAAUGCACUCCAAAGAUAUGGUACUUUUUAAAGCUUGAUUGAGAUAUAAUUCACGUACCAUAUAAUUGUACCCAUUUCAAGUGUACAAUACAAUGUUUUUUUAGUAUAUUCACAGGAUCAUGCAAUAAUCUAAUUUUAAAGCCUCUUUGCCUCCCCUAAAAGUAACCCUAUACCCAUUUAACAGUCAUCCUCAAUGUUCCUGCUCCUUCCGCCCCCAUCUCCAGGCAACCAAAAAUCUGCUAUCUCUAUAGAUCUCCUAUAAUGUACAUUUCAUAUAAAUUUACAUCUAUAAUACAUAAUCUUUUGUGAUUGGCUUCUUCCAUUCGUGUAAAUUUUAUAAGCUCCAUCCCCAGUGUACAUGUAUCAGUACUUCACUCCUUUUUAUUGCCAAACAACUUCCCAUCGUAGGGAUAGACCACAUUUUAUUUAUCCGUUCAUCAGGUGACGGACAUUUGAGUUGUUUACUUUUUUUUUUUUUUUUUUGGCUUUUAUGAAUAAUGCUGCUAUGAACAUUCACGUACAAGUUUUUGUGUGGGUGUGGGUUUUCCUUUCUAACGGGUAUAUAUCUAGGAGUGCAACUACUGGAUUCUAUAACUGUUUAACAUUUUGAAGACUCUGUCAAACCACUUUCUAAAGCAGCUGUGCUGUUUUACAUUUGCCAGCAAUGUAGAAGAAUAUCAAUUCCUCCAUCUCGUCACUAGCACUCGUUAUUGUUUGGCUUUUUUAUUAUAACCAUCCUAGUGGGUGUGUAGUGGUAUGACAUCACGGUUUUGAUUUGCACUUCCUUAAUGAUUAAUGAGCUGAAUACCUUUCAUGUGCUGACUAUUUGUAUAGCUUCCUGGGAGAAAUGUCUAAACCCUUUGUCCAUUACAUAAUGGGGUUAUUGUUUCAUUAUUGAGUUGUAAGAGAUCUUUAUAUAUUCUAGCUACAAGUGUCUUAUCAGAUAUAUGGUUUGCUAUUUUCUGCCAUUGUGUGGAUUGUGUUUUUACUUUCUUAUUUUUAUUAUUUGCACCACCAUGUUUUAAUUUUGAUGAAGUCAUUUUUUCUUUUGUUGCUUUUGUUUUCACUUUUGGCAUUGUUGAAAAAAGGCUUUGCCUAACUUAAGGUCAUAAGAUUUAUUCCUAAGUCUUUGAAGAGGUAUAUAGUUUUAGUUCUUUUAUUUAAGUCUAUGAUCCAUUUUGAGUUGAUUUUUGUUAAUGGUCCCAGAUAGAGGCUCAACUUACUGCUUUGUCAAUUUAAUAUGCCCAAAGCAAUACAUGUUCAUUAAAGAAAAAUCAGGAAAUAUAUGUAAGAAAAAGGAAUAAAAUAAAACAUAUCCACAAUCCUAUUUAUCCCUAAAUAACUACUUUUAGCAUUCUGACUUAUAUGCUUCCAAAACCUAUUCUCUGUGUAUUUUAUUUAUUUUUUAAUGGGAUCACAUAAUGCACAUAGUUCUGUAGGUAACUUUUUUUUCCUUUGAUAAUUGUAAACAUAUUUACAUAUCAGUUUUUUAGACUUUUGUGAACUUCAAGUUCUUCAGCUGUAUAAAAGCAAGUGGUUGUUAAAAUCAAAUAAAAUAAUGGUGUAAAA
rnacentral:lncRNA from 1 species